UCCUCAGUAGCUCAAUGGCAGAGCACUCGGCUGUUAACCGAGGGGUUGUAGGUUCGAGUCCCACCUGGGGAGCCA
rnacentral:tRNA from 1 species